AAGACUUUCUUGAGCACGAGGUCACCUUCUCGGAACACACGAGGCUUGACCUUCUUAUCGAAUGCUUUCUUCAUUCUCUGCUGAUAUAACUGUCCAUGACACAUGGCAGUUAAUCUCGUCUCUUCAAUCAGAUUCAACUGGUCAUAACGACUCUGAAUCCAUUCAGCAUCAGUCAACUAGGACUUUGAGGGUAUGCUUUUUUCUCUUGAAAAACUUUUGAAAACUUUU
rnacentral:lncRNA from 1 species